GGGGGUUUGGGUGAGCGGUUUAAACCAGCAGUCUUGAAAACUGCCGAGGCUUUGCGGCCUCCGUGAGUUCGAAUCUCACAGCCCCCG
rnacentral:tRNA from 1 species